rnacentral:rRNA from 1 species
GACGAACGCUGGCGGCGUGCCUAAUACAUGCAAGUCGAACGCUUCUUUCCUCCCGAGUGCUUGCACUCAAUUGGAAAGAGGAGUGGCGGACGGGUGAGUAACACGUGGGUAACCUACCCAUCAGAGGGGGAUAACACUUGGAAACAGGUGCUAAUACCGCAUAACAGUUUAUGCCGCAUGGCAUAAGAGUGAAAGGCGCUUUCGGGUGUCGCUGAUGGAUGGACCCGCGGUGCAUUAGCUAGUUGGUGAGGUAACGGCUCACCAAGGCCACGAUGCAUAGCCGACCUGAGAGGGUGAUCGGCCACACUGGGACUGAGACACGGCCCAGACUCCUACGGGAGGCAGCAGUAGGGAAUCUUCGGCAAUGGACGAAAGUCUGACCGAGCAACGCCGCGUGAGUGAAGAAGGUUUUCGGAUCGUAAAACUGUGUUGUUAGAGAAGAACAAGGACGUUAGUAACUGAACGUCCCCUGACGGUAUCUAACCAGAAAGCCACGGCUAACUACGUG